rnacentral:lncRNA from 1 species
AGUUCAAUAUGCUUUAUAUGAAAGGUCCAGAGAAGGAACUGCCAUGCUGAGGAUUAUUUGCUUGUGGGUGUGUAUAUGUUAUUUGGAGGCAUUCACUGGACUCACAAGACUCUUUCUAAAGAUAUGGCCUUGGGAUGCAGCCCAGCUUCGAACUUAUGCUCCACCUCCGACUUCCUCCCAGGUGCUGGGGUUGUAAGUAUGCAGCACCACGCCCAGCCAUUUUUGUUUGUUAAAGUUCCCACCAUUCAGAGAAGCAUCUGAAUGGCUCUGGCCCCGAGGCCGCUGGGGCUCCUGUGCUCAGUGUCAACGCAGGAGAUCAAGUCUGUCUGAAGUUAGAAGAACGAGAACAGAGAAAACUGGCUCCAGGCAGGGUGGUGCACUGAAGCUGGGGAAAGGCAGUUAAGUCCAGAAUCUAUCUGAAGGUGCAUCCACACCCCACACCUAGAUCAGAUGUAGUUGUAAGAGCAAGAGAGGUGUGUGGAAGGACUGGGGUGUCAGUCUGAACAAAUGGAAGAGAGCUUCACUAUGGAAGUCAUUCACUCACUCAUUCAUUCAUUCAUUCAUUCAUUCAUUCAAUUUAUCAAUCGAAUCACAUUAUCUAGUGUGUGCAUGUGCGACAAGAGGAUAAUUUGUGGAAGUCAGUUCUCUCCUUAGACCAUAUGGGUCUUGGUGAUGGAAUUCAGGCUGCCUGGUUUGGCAGCAGGUGCCUUUACCCACUGGGCCAUCUCCACUAUCCCGUGGCUGUUAUUCCUAAUGAAUGGAUCAACUACUGCAUGAAAAUAUAAGGCACAGCCAUUACUCACCAGGUACUAGCGCUCGCCCCCUUCCACAUGCUGUAGGAAUAGUCAGCGUUUCUGUAGGACAUGACGCUCACCACCCCUGAGAGGAACCAGAACAGAAGAACACAGCCCUUCACUUCCUGGGCAUGCUGGAUGGGCCUGGUGAGCCCUCUGUGGUGUGGCCAACACUGGGCUUCUCACAGGAACUGUGUGAACUACUUGAGCUGGGAAUCAAAUAGAACAUUCUGCUCCCAUUCAGAGAGGAUGGGAGAGCCCUGCAGAGUCUGGAGACAGGUGUCUUGGUUUGCAUGCAAGUAUUUUGGUAAGUUAAGCCAAAAUGCCUCAAAAAGAGAACAUGCCAUGGUUUUUCUUUCUUGUUAAAAUUCUUUAUAAGUAAUCAUAUAUGUGUAAUUCUUAACAAUUUAAAUAAAUAUUAUGUUCAAUAAGAUAUUUGCUUAGAAUUCUGAAAAAUGAUGUAU